rnacentral:lncRNA from 1 species
AACUGCCGGCCUCUAAGUCUACCAAACUAAGAGAAGGCGGCUGGCUCCCUUGUUACAGCAAGCUUUGAAUGAAUAGCCUGUUCUCAUUGGUGGUCUUCGUUUAUUUUAUUUCCACACAGCCUAAGGAAAGGUGGUAGAGAAGUGUGAAAAAGCUGUUCUUGAGAUUUUUUAAUUCCCUUUAAUUUGUUCAUCUAAAUUUGUAGUAUGUGGUCUCCCACCCAGCUUUUAAAACAUCCACUCAUUUAAGGGAAUAACUGGCAUCUUGUGCCCAUCCCGGAGAAAGAAUGGCUAAGUGGUUCUUUAAGAAAAUGUUGAAGUAUGAGGCCUCACUGUCUUUCCAAGUAGCAGGAAUGUGAAGGGGAGGAGAGCAAAAAGGGAGUGGGAGGGAGGAGAGCCUAGGGAUUUAAAACAGGCCACAGCCCGCUCAGGUCUCUUUCCCUAGACCGCUCAGACCAGCCAAAGUAAAGGGAUGUGUUCAUAAAUAAACUGUUACCUUCAAAGGGGGCCUGACUGAGGUCUUGACAAAAACCAAAAGUGAGGUGCCAUUUCUUCUGCAACCAAGAGCAGAAUAUGAAAUAGCUGCCUAUUCUCACCUAAAAAUCUGCCAGGGUUAAAACCUUUCAAGAGUCUGCAUAAUAUUGUUAUAAGAUUGUCAGAUAUCCCUCCAGUUUGUUUAUGUCAGCCCUUUUCAGCUUUCCGAUGAGAAAUAUAGAUGAUAUAGAAUUAAACUAUUAACCCUUGGCCCUUUUCUUCUUGGUUCAUAGAUCCGGUGGUUGAUAGAUCCAAUUCAACUAUCUCAAGAUCUUUUUUUCUCCCUAGUUCAAACAGAUUAAUAAGAACAGUAGAAAAAUAUGACACAGGUGAAUUAUUUGAUACAUAUGGAGGUUCCCAGGCUAAGGGUCUAAUUGGAGCUAUUGCUGCGGGCCUACACAAAAGCCACAGCAACGCCAGAUGUGAGCCAUGUCUUCGACCUAGACCACAGCUCAUGGCAAUGCUGGAUCCUUAACCCACUGAGCGAGGCUAGGGAUCGAACCCACAACCUCAUGGUCCCUGGUCUGAUUUGUUUCUCCUGCGCCAUGAUGGGAACUCCUGUAUUGGUCAUUGUCAUUUUGUUUUUAGUCACUCUCAAUUCUCCUGUCCUACUUUUUUUCAACUAGAUGCUGUUAGCUAAAAUGUUUGGCCUGGAUUGUUGCUGCCUCCUAGAGAUUCUGUCUAUAGGAAAGAUAUCUUAAAAAAGAUUCGUAAAUGGAAUUGAGAUUUUCAGUAGCUCUGUUUAAAACACGCAGGACUCUGUGUGUGUGUGUGUGUGUGUGAAUGAGGUUCGAAUAAAAAUACUAUUUGGAAUUUGAUCACAAUAAUGGGUACUCCCCCAGCAAAUACUGUUUGCCAGUCUCACAGAGUAUCUGUAUUUACCUAAAAAUAACUAAAAGAAAGAAAAAGAAUCACAACUUACACUGAUUCAUCUUCAAUUUAUAAUAUUUAGAAUCUAGAAUUCCAAGUAAUUUGAACCUGGGGAAUAUACAUAUGUGAUACUAUCUUAAAAAACCCAAAUGUUUUUAAUAUGCUAUAAUAGAUUUCACACUUUUGACUUCCUGUUAUUUUUUUAAGCAAACAUAAUAGUUUUUUUUUAACUUAAACUACAAGCAAAUGUAUUCAUUACCUAGAAAAAAAUUCACCCACAUCUUAUCCUCAAUAAAAUGAUUAUAUCACACCUGGCUAAGUUUUACAAUACAACAUUUUUCCUCUUUCACAAUCAGCAAAAUAUUUUGAUUUUCUAAAAGAAAUUUCAACAGAUAAAGUUCUUUUCAAUAUGCUCAAGCAAUAUCUGGGAAUUACUAGCCAAGACUUAAGGCUAAUAGGCCCAAGGAGCCAAGUACCAUUUUCUUUGGACUUCACAGCAGGUAGAAAUUGCCUCUUCAAUUUAUACACCUGAAGAAAAUGAAGCAGCAUCAGCCUACUGAGGGCUUGACAAAGAAAGAAAUCCUCAGAGAGGUGCAAGUACUGCCCUGAAGUUAAUGCAUACUAAGCAGAUAUAUCUAAUCACAGAGAGACCGCAUUUGGCACAUUUUUGUUGCAAUAAAUGUUCCGCUUCCAGAAUAAACUCAAGUUGAAAAAUAAGAAAGCAAUAUUGCAAACAAGGAAGGAAGUGAGUGGGUUAAACACAGUUCCCCCAAACUAUCAGGUUUUGGUUUACAGAAUUUAUAUUCAUCUCCCCCUUCCCGGGUACCACAACCAGCUAGCUCAGCUCACCAAAUUUGGCCUCAUCAGAUCCCAGCAUUGUUUGUGUUCUGGUCAUCACCCAGAGAAUUCUAGCUAUUCAUUUUGCCUCCUCAAUUUUCCCUCCUGUGCACCAGCUACUCAUUAACUUGAAAAUAAUGUAUAACUGACACCAUCCCCCAUGAUGCUUUGAUGUUCUUGGGUGCUUUCCAAGUUAGGUUAGGUUGCUGAUGGGUGAUGUUGAUAGGGGUCUCUGGCAAUCCUAUGGAAUUGUCGUGGAGUGGGUAUGUGCCUGGUGCCUCCUUUGUACCCAGGACCUUGUAACAACAUUAUAUUUCUGAAUGACCUUCUCAGAAGGGCAGAAACAAUCAUGACAAAAUGCCCAGCCCUGAUUUCCUGGCCCUAGUCAAUCUGCAGGGCCUUCUAUUGAUCCUUGAAGAUAAAACUUAGGUAUCUUAGGUGAUCUUAGGUAUGAGCUGUGGGAAGCUAGCUUAUAGCUAUGGAGUGGGCAGUCUCUGCAGUCCUGAGUGCCAGGGUUGGAUUAAGUAACAUCUACAGCUACCAGGACCAGACAAGGAACAAAGGAAGACAUUAUUUCAGUGCAGAGUUCUCCUCUGUGACCUUCCUAGCUCUUUAACUGCUUGAUGAAUUUUAAAGAUCAUCCUUUAUGUCAGCCCCCUCCUAAAUAACCCCUGAGUGUCUCCCAGUUCUUUUUUACCAUUUGGAGUCUUCAUUCCAUUGGCAGAUUGGGUCUGUCAAUGGGCCCGUCCAGUCUGAUUUCCCGUUCUCUCUCGAAAGCCUGUGUUGCCCUGAUCUCCUCAGGACCCAUUCCCUCACCUUCCAUUGUUUCCCUCAGAAACUCUCAUUUCUUUGGGAGCAAUCUCAAGCCCAUUCAAAACCCAGCAGAUUCCCACAAGCAGAUUCCCUACCCUCCCCGCUUCCCACUCCCUUGCUCCUGCCCAGCCAGAGGCCAGAUACUGAGUCAGUCAGAUCUGGGUUCAAAUCCCAGUUUUUCCACUUAUUAACUCUAUAAACUUGGGAAUCUUUUUAAAUUUCCGAGCUCCUGUUACUUCAUUUAUAAAAUGGAAAUAAAAGAACCUAGAGCUCUGUGAGAGUGAGAAUUUGUAUAAAUUGCUUAUUUUCGUAGUCAGAAAAUAGCACUCAAAAAAAAAAAAGUGGUGUUGCCAUUGUUAUUUUAUCAACUUUCACCUGAACCUCUGCUUUUUCUAUCAGAUUAGAGCCUGUGGUUGGCCAGUUCUUUUUCCCCAGCCUGUAUCACCUCUUAUUCUUCAACUUAGUACUCUACCAACCUCAGUAAACAAGAGCCAUGCUCUAAUUCCACAGCUUCUGCUCCAGGAAUGUUAGUGCGGGAGAGAGCCCCAUAACCAGGCUGACUGGCCCAACAGCUGAGCCCUUUCUGAGGCCCUUCGACCUCUUUCUGGUGGUUCUUCAUCAUGGCUGGUCAUUAACAUCAACACAAGCACUUUUUUUUUUUGGCCACACUCGUGGCAUGUAGAAGUUCCUGGGCCAGAUAUUGAACAUAUGCCAUAGCAGUGACAAUGCCAGAUCCUUAACCUACUGAGCCAUCAGAGAAUUCCGACACAGGCCCUUUUGAAAAUGCCAGGUGCCGAUUUUUUUCUACUAUCUUUAUCCCUUCCCUUCACCCACAUCCUCCCCAAAUUCAUCAAGCAAGCAUUUGAGGACUGUGGUGUACUAGACACAAUUUCCUUUUCAAAUUUCGAUUUGGAUUUGAAUGUAUGAUUUGAUGCUUAUCUAUGUUCAGGCAGAAAGAGGCAUGAGUAAUUUUGAGUUUGAAAUCUCUUCCAGAAGACAAAGUACUUCAGUGAGUAAAGCUUUAGCAUUUUUGGUUAUAUUCAAAAAGAGGAUUAUUUGACAUGAAAUAGUAUUGUCUCUAGAUAUUCCCAUCUUCAGUUUGAAAAUAUCCAAAACUUGCAUAGGUCAUAAAGGAGGAGAGCUUUCCUUUCUGUCAAUCAUACAGAAGCAAAGGAAAUCACUUUUCCUGUACGUAUCACUUGGGAAAGGAGUGAGCUUAUCUUUCAAUUGUUUUGAGUUUUACUUGUGUAUUUAAUUUAGCAUUCUUUUGUUGAGUCACAAGAUUUAUGGAAAAAUAAAUGUUUAAUGCUGAGAAAGAAAGAUAGGGAAAGAGAGAGAGAUGGAGUUCCUGUUGUGGCUCAGUGGAAACAAAUCCGACUAGGAACCAUGAGGUUGCUGGUUCAAUCCCUGGCCCUGCUCAGUGGGUUAAGGAUCCGGCAUUGCCGUCAGCUGUGGUAUAUGUUGCAGACGCGGCUCAGAUCUGACAUUGCUGUGGCUGCGGUGUAGGCGGAUGGCUACAGCUCCAAUUAGACCCCUAGCCUGGGAACCUCCAUAUGCCAUGGGUACGCCCUAAAAAUACAAAAAAA